GACGAACGCUGGCGGCGUGCCUAAUACAUGCAAGUAGAACGCACAGUUUAUACCGUAGCUUGUUACACCAUAAACUGUGAGUUGCGAACGGGUGAGUAACGCGUAGGUAACCUGCCUGGUAGCGGGGGAUAACUCUUGGAAACGAUAGCUAAUACCGCAUAAUAUUGAUUAUUUCAUGAUAAUUGAUUGAAAGAUGCUAUUGCAUCACUACCAGAUGGACCUGCGUUGUAUUAGCUAGUAGGUGAGGUAACGGCUCACCUAGGCGACGAUACAUAGCCGAACUGAGAGGGUGAUCGGCCAAACUGGGACUGAGACACGGCCCAGACUCCUAAGGGAGGCAGGAGUAGGGAAAGUUCGGCAAUGGACUAAAGUCUGAACGAGCAACGCCGCGUGAGUGGAGAAGGUUUUCGGGUCGUAAAGCUCUGUUGUAAGAGAAGAACGGGUGUGAGAGUGGAAAGUUCACACUGUGACGGUAUCUUACCAGAAAGGGACGGCUAACUACGUG
rnacentral:rRNA from 1 species